rnacentral:lncRNA from 1 species
CACGACUGUAUUUUGUGACUCCUAGAACCUUCUUCUUGUGGAGACGGAGUAUGGCCCAGAGAACAACUGCCCCAAAAGGAGUCUUUGCUGUUGGAUGUUUUUAAGGAAUUGCUUUAAUCCUAGCUACGGUCCUUCAUUCCUUUCUAUGUUUCUACUGCGGGCUGCCAGUUCUUCAAAUGGCCUGACUCCACCUGCAUUCUGCCCCGCAAUGGCCAACUUCAAUAG